GUUGCCCAACUUCACAUGUUGACUGGCUGGUCACAGAUUGUUGAAGUUGCUGUAUCAAGAAGGAUGUCAUUAUUCGAGGACUGUUAUCAGCUAUUGUUUGAGAGAAGCAUACCAAGUUCUCAGUGACCCUACACAGCGCCAAGCUUAUGACUCGCAUGGGAAAGACAGCAUCUCAAUGGAGGGGAUUAUUGAUCCUGCAACAAUUUUUGCAAUUCUGUUUGGUAGUGAGCUUUUUGAGGAAUAUAUUGGUCAGCUGGCAAUGGCAUCAAUGGCUUCACUUGAUAAUUUUGGUUAAGAUGAGCAGAUUGAUGCAAGAAAACUGCAAGAGAGAAUGCAGGCUGUUCAAAAGGAUCGGGAAGAAAAACUUGCAGAGACACUGAAAAACCGGCUACACAUCUAUGUGCAAGGAAAUAAGGCAGAAUUCAUCCAGCAUGCUGAAGCAGAGGUGUCCAAACUUAGAAAUGCAGG